GGUCACGUGACACCGCAGGCCGCCGCGGGCUUCUGUCCAGCUCCAGGGAAACCGCAGGUUUGGUGGCAUCUCCCUUUUCUUCUCGGCCAGUAGGCAGCCAGACUUUUAGUGACCUUAACUGAAAGCUUUGACCGGAUUUGACGCAGUUGUGGGAGUGGAGAAUUCAGUGACUACGAUGGAGCGAGCCCUUCUCCAGGAGUCAGGAUACUCCUGUGCAAAUCCCGCCUUUGCCCUUAAGAUUUGGAAGGACUUUGGCCAAAGCUGCUCUCUACGGGCUCAGGUUACCCGUUGAGAUAUAGCCUGAGAUGUUUUAAAACCACAAAUCCAAUGUCUAAACCAGUUUAAGCUACAGAACGAUUCCUCUGGUGAAAGAGGUCUGAAUGCAAGUGGAGCGAGCCCACGUUCAGCAAAAUCACGCCCUGAGUUAACGUGUACGCCCUAUGCCAACAAAUAUGGCUUUCCUCAAACAAAGGUUAGAGGAAACUAUGUUUGCUGCCCAUUCUGCCAUUUGACUGGAUUCCAGAACUCUCCAGGACACGCCCCUUGUCCCCUCACCUACGAUGUUAAUGGGUAGGUUCAGCUUGGCAGCAGAGACGAUGGCUGAGCAGAUGGUGGCAGCUCCUCCCAUGUCAGCCCUCAUGAGGUCCAUAUUUGCAGAGGCCUUGAUGGAAAUGCCGCCACUGUGGGGGGAAAGGACAGCAGCCGUAUCAGUGGCGAAAGAGAGGGCUCACGUCCCUUUAACAAAGAAUAUAUAAGCUGAGGCAUCAUCUACCUGGCAAAGAAAAUUCAAGUUUCUAAAUUGAGAAUCUGAAUGACUUAACAUUUUAAAAGAUGAUAUCACAGUCUUUAUAAAAACAUAAAUGGGUGUCCUGGCUCAUUUUGUUUCUUGUUGAUUGAAACAUAGCAGUGUCGGUGGAGCCAUUACUAAGUCACGUAAUCGGUGCUGUUCAAACCCAUCUCUGUAUUAGCUCAUUAGCUCCUGACACCCACAUAGACGUGUCUUUUCAGCAAAUUUUGUGAGUCAGUCAACUUAUUGAACCUGAGGGUCACAAACUGUUAAGAAAAGCCAACAAGCUCAGAAGACUGGGAGGAUCCCUCGCAAGCCACAGAAGGACACAAGGACAAUUCCUUCCGACACCCCUAAGGUGCACUCCAUCCUGCUGAUGGCAAAAUACAACCUGAAUCAGGCAGAGGCAUGAGGAAGAUGCUCCCCAGAAGCCUUAAAGACAGUGCUCAAACCCGAGAGCCGAGAUGGGUUUCAGUUGGCAAGAAACCCAAACUACUGCCCCAAACAGGCUUCUCUGACUACCUAGUGACUUUUCUGCUUCCAGUCUGCAAGAGUCCAGAAGCCACAGGCUUUGCAGGCUGGGCCUGGAGCUGGGGCUUGCACUGUGAGUUCUGAGAUGUGCUGCUGACCUGACCUGGCGGUUCCAGAGUCUAUUCCCUGCACUGAGGUCUGCUUUCCUUAGAGAUUAGGUCCUAAUUCUCCCUCGUCUCAGAAGCUCUGGAUAAUUAGAUGGCUGUCAAUUACACCUAGAAUUAAAGACGAUCCACUGGCUCAGAAUAAGAAAAGAAAUACACUGUUGGUCCAAGCAGUCCAGGGAGAACCCCAUGGGAGCAAAGGAAACACACUGGUGCAUGAGGUCAUUCUGUCUACUGGCCACAUCCUUCUCACCUUCCAUUCAUAGGACUACAGUUCAAAGUAACCACCAAAGAGCAGCAGUUCUCACUGCUCACCUGUUAGACUGCUCUCAAAUCCACCCAUUUCUUUUCUGUUGAAUCCACCCUGGUGAGGACAUCAUCACGUCAUGGAGAUGUGUGCCGCAGCUCCUAUAUAUUAAGGUCUCCCUAUGUCAAUCUUAUUACCCCCUUCAUUUCAUUACCCACACAAUGACUAUUCUUACCAAAAUACAAAAUAUCUCAACCAACAUCCCAGCAGGCUUUCUGUGUGUGUGUGUGUGUGUGUGUGUGUGUGUGUGUAUAAAAAAUCCUAAGUGGAUUCUAAAAUUGAUAUGUAAAUGCAAAUGAUGCAGCCAAAAGAAUUUUGAAAAAGAGCAAAACUGGAGGGUCAUGUUACAACAUUUCAAGACAGAGCUGUACUCAUUAGACACUUGGUUGCAAGGUCCUGGGAAAAUGACAAAGAGGCCAGAGUUAGACCCGUAAUUAUAUGGUCAACUGAUUUAACAACAGUGCAAGGUAGUUCAAUGGAGAAAGGACAGUCUUUCAAAGAGAUAGGUUUGCAACAAAAAGACAUCCAUAUGGAAAGAAAAAAAAAAACCGCCAUGCUUUUCACAGCAUAUGCAAAAUUUCAAAAUGGAUCAUAGCCUUAAAUGCUAAAACCGUAACACUUAGAAAAGAAAACACAGACCUGGGCAUUGGCAAUAAUUUCUUAAACAGGGUAACAAAAGCAUGAAGUAUAAAAGUAAAAACUGAUAAAUUACACUUCAUCAAAAUUAAAACUGCUCCUAAAAGAGGUCACUUAAAAAAAUGAAAAGGCAAGCCUGAGAGUGGGGGAAAAAAAGAUACUUUCAAAUACUGAUCCCACAAAAGGUUUAUUAUCUAGAAUACAACAAUGUAUACAAUGUAUAGUUUUAAAAACUUCUAACUCAGCAUGACCAUCAGUCCUAUAAAAAAAAAGGCAAAAGAUGUGGACACUUCACUAAAGAUAUACCAACAGCCAAUACUCGCAGUGAGAAUGCUAAACACCAUUAGUCAUUAGGGAACUAAUCACACUCAAAAUGAACCUCCGGGCUAUGCCACACAUCCCCAGGAAGAGCUAGAAUCCAAGAAUGACAGUAUCAGAGGCUGGGGAGGACGCCCCACAGCUGGAUCUGUGUGCAGGAAUGCAAAAUGGCACAACCACUGUGGAGAAGUUCGGUCACUGUGUAUAGUGAAACACGCAGUUACGAUGAAUAUACUUUGGUGUUCCCAUAUAACGGAAUACAGCCCAGUGAUAAAAGGCAACCAAUUACUGAUGUGGCCAACAUGAGUGAAUGUCACAGACACGAUGCAGAAAGAAAGCAGGCUUAAAAGAAAAGAAGAAAAGAAGUAAGAAGACUUAAGAGAUCCCAUGAGAAUGAAUUUCUAGAACAAGAAACACUCAUCCACAAAGAUGACUGGUGGCCUGAGGCAGGGGUGGGAAAGGGACACCUGCAAAAUGCACCAGGCUUGGUGUCUGGGGUGAUGGAAGGAUUCUGUUUUCACAGGAGCGGAGGCUGGU